AUUGAACGCUGGCGGCAGGCCUAACACAUGCAAGUCGAGCGGCAGCGGGGGGAAGCUUGCUUCCCCGCCGGCGAGCGGCGGACGGGUGAGUAAUGUCUGGGAAACUGCCUGAUGGAGGGGGAUAACUACUGGAAACGGUAGCUAAUACCGCAUAACGUCUUCGGACCAAAGUGGGGGCUCUUCGGACCUCAUGCCAUCGGAUGUGCCCAGAUGGGAUUAGCUAGUAGGCGGGGUAAAGGCCCACCUAGGCGACGAUCCCUAGCUGGUCUGAGAGGAUGACCAGCCACACUGGAACUGAGACACGGUCCAGACUCCUACGGGAGGCAGCAGUGGGGAAUAUUGCACAAUGGGGGAAACCCUGAUGCAGCCAUGCCGCGUGUGUGAAGAAGGCCUUCGGGUUGUAAAGCACUUUCAGCGGGGAGGAAGGGGGCAGGCUUACUACGUCUGUUCAUUGACGCUACCCGCAGAAGAAGCACCGGCUAACUCCGUGCCAGCAGCCGCAGUAAGAC
rnacentral:rRNA from 1 species